rnacentral:rRNA from 1 species
AUGAAUGAUAAUGAUGUACAUUGGCGGUUCACGGGUUUUUAUGGGCAUCCGGCUUGGAGUGAUCGUAAGUUAUCGUGGGAUAAUAUUAGGAAUUUACAUAAUCUGGGUCAUCACCCCUGGGUGAUCUUAGGGGAUUUUAAUGAAAUUUUACUGUCGUCAGAAAAAGAGGGCGGAAUUGCAAGACCAAAUGCUAUGAUGAGAGACUUCCGUAAUUGUCUAGGAGAGUGUGGCCUCGAGGAUAUGGGUUGUAUUGGUGACCCUUUCACUUGGAGGGAAGGCGAUACUAGAGAGAGGCUUGACCGUGCGGUGUGCAAUGUGGAAUGGGCGAACAAAUUCCCUCGGGCUGCGUUAAUUAAUGAGGAACAUGUUCAUUCUGAUCAUCGUCCACUCGUACUGGAGAUGGAAUAUUUUGAUGGAAAUAUUUUUAAUGCCCCAAGGGGACGAGUAAAACAAUUUGAAGCUAGAUGGCUCAAGGAGGAGACGGUCGGCGAAAUUGUUCGUACAGCAUGGGAAAAGGCAAAGAUGAUGGGUAUUGGGCCAAAACUCGCUGAUCGUACUCGUGCGCUCCAGUCAGAUCUCUGCACAUUUGGGAUCGUGAGGUUUUGA